rnacentral:rRNA from 1 species
UACAGCAUCUAUCACUCUGCAGAACUUAUGUGGUCACCCACUGAAGCUAAGCAGAGAUGACCUGAUCAAUACCUGGAUUGGAGACAGCAUGGAAAAACUAGGGUAGGUUGCAGUGU